UACGUAGGGUGCGAGCGUUGUCCGGAAUUAUUGGGCGUAAAGAGCUCGUAGGCGGUUUGUUGCGUCGGCUGUGAAAUCCCGAGGCUCAACCUCGGGUCUGCAGUCGAUACGAGCAAACUAGAGUGUUGCAGGGGAGACUGGAAUUCCUGGUGUAGCGGUGAAAUGCGCAGAUAUCAGGAGGAACACCGGUGGCGAAGGCGGGUAGCUGGGCCGACACUGACGCUGAGGCGCGAAAGCGUGGGGAGCGAACAGG
rnacentral:rRNA from 1 species